rnacentral:ncRNA from 1 species
GUUUUCGGAUGCGCUGCUGGGUUGAUGUCGUGGUCUUCUGAAGCUGGCAGCGAUUGAAAUAUAAAGGGCCGCGCUACACUGAUGUAUUCAACGAGUCUAUAGCCUUGGCCGACAGGCCCGGGUAAUCUUUGAAAUUUCAUCGUGAUGGGGAUAGAUCAUUGCAAUUGUUGGUCUUCAACGAGGAAUUCCUAGUAAGCGCGAGUCAUCAGCUCGCGUUGACUACGUCCCUGCCCUUUGUACACACCGCCCGUCGCUCCUACCGAUUGAAUGGUCCGGUGAAGUGUUCGGAUCGCGGCGACGUGGGCGGUUCGCCGCCGGCGACGUCGCGAGAAGUCCACUGAACCUUAUCAUUUAGAGGAAGGAGAAGUCGUAACAAGGUUUCCGUAGGUGAACCUGCGGAAGGAUCAUUG